UUUUCUUUAGGGAUUCAAAGAUGGGAUGUCUCGAAUUUGAAUCUAGCUUGUGCUAGAACAGUCGCGGCUAAGGAUAAGGAGAUUUUUCUAGGGGAACUAGCAUCUCUUACCUCGCCAGCGCAAAAAAGAAUGCAGAGGUGAUAGUUGAUGCAUCUGUUGUGCGAAGUGGAAGAAAUCUGAGUGUGAUAGCACUAGAGUUCAAGCUCAAGAAAACUGGG